rnacentral:pre_miRNA from 1 species
AAAGACUCAAUUCCUAGGUUUUCGUGUCCUACGUUUGACUAUCCGUCUUAUAUGAAACUUUUUUAUGAUUAGUAUUUUCAUUGUUGUUAAAUGAUAAAACAUAAAUAGUACUUUAUACAUGAUUUAUCUUUUUAAAUUUUUUCAUAAUUUUUUCAAAUAAGACGGACGGUCAAAUGUUGGACACGGAAACUCAGGAAUUGAGUUAUU